GGGGGGGGGGGGGGGGGGGCGGGGCGCAUGCAGGUCGAGCGGGAGGGGCCUGCUUUUGUGGGGUGCUCGGGUGGCGAGCGGGUGGGUAGCACGUGAGUAACCUGCCCUUGACUUUGGGAUAACUUCAGGAAACUGGGGCUAAUACCGGAUAGGAGCUCCUGCUGCAUGGUGGGGGUUGGAAAGUUUCGGCGGUUGGGGAUGGACUCGCGGCUUAUCAGCUUGUUGGUGGGGUAGUGGCUUACCAAGGCUUUGACGGGUAGCCGGCCUGAGAGGGUGACCGGCCACAGUGGGACUGAGAUACGGCCCAGACUCCUACGGGAGGCAGCAGUGGGGAAUAGUGCACAAGGGGAGGAAGCCUGAUGCAGCAACGCCGCGUGCGGGAUGACGGCCUUCGGGUUGUAAACCGCUUUCGCCUGUGACGAAGCGUGAGUGACGGUAAUGGGUAAAGAAGCACCGGCUAACUACGUG
rnacentral:rRNA from 1 species